CCUGAAUGUUGGCAUUUUCCAAACAGCUAUCUGAGGGACACUGAGAUAUUUUGCCAUCCAUAUUCCAAACUAGCUUUAGGACUGACUUCAUAUCAGACUCAGCUCGUGAAGCAUUUGCACCCAGAAGCACUGCUGUGUCAACCAUGAACUGCAAAAAGGUAUCUCGGUACUGGGAAAAAAAAAAAAAAGAAAGAAAGAAAUUAUCACUGGAUUUGCAUUUCAACACAGCUGUAGCAGUAGGACAUAAAUAUCCAGCUGACAGCAAGGAGUUGAAUACACUGUACUUUCAUACUCUUGCAACCGGAGUUAUACUUCCUUUACCUCAAGCGUCCACUUCCAUUGAAGAGAAAAGGGGAAAUAAUGCCAUAAACUGCCAUAAAAUGCCAUACUGUGGAUGACAGACAGAGCUAUCUGCUGUGGUUCACAGAGUAUAUAAAUCUCGGGAAGUGCAAAUGAUAUUUCUGGAUUUGGCUGAGCACACAGAGCUCUUACAAUAGGAUUAGACAAUGUGAAUGUUUUUGCAACCUCACACAGUAAUGAGCACAGAACUGAAGUACUGAUAGACAAAUGCAAGCUUAGUGGAUGAGAAGAUAGGGAGGUAAAGGGACGUCCCUCUUCUGCUUCUGCUACAGCACACAAGUACCUACUAAUGUGCUGUGCUACCCAGCUAUCCUAAAAAAGCAUGUUUAGCCUAGUGCGUAUACACAAAUGUCAACAGAAAACACUGUAUGUAUCAAUCAUUAUAUUGUACUGAUUUAUGUGCUAUCUCUUCCCCAGCAUCAUCUUUUAGAAGUUUGAGAGGGAUCAAACUGCUCCUAUCAGCUCCUGCUGGCCUGGACUCUCCCAAGCAAAAAC
rnacentral:lncRNA from 1 species